rnacentral:rRNA from 1 species
GCUUAACACUGCAAGUCGAGGGGUAACAGGAGUGCUUGCACUCGCUGACGACCGGCGCACGGGUGCGUAACGCGUAUAGAACCUACCUUUUACUGAGGGAUAGCCUUUAGAAAUGAAGAUUAAUACCUCAUGGUAUUGCAAUUUGGCAUCAGAUUGUAAUUAAAGAUUUAUUGGUAAAAGAUGGCUAUGCGUCUUAUUAGCUAGAUGGUAAGGUAACGGCUUACCAUGGCAACGAUAAGUAGGGGCCCUGAGAGGGGGAUCCCCCACACUGGUACUGAGACACGGACCAGACUCCUACGGGAGGCAGCAGUGAGGAAUAUUGGGCAAUGGAGGCAACUCUGACCCAGCCAUGCCGCGUGCAGGAAGACUGCCCUAUGGGUUGUAAACUGCUUUUAUACAGGAAGAAACACACCUACGUGUAGGUGCUUGACGGUACUGUAAGAAUAAGCACCGG